rnacentral:rRNA from 1 species
UAGCGUAUAUUAAAGUUGUUGCAGUUAGAACGCUCGUAGUCGGAUUUCGGGGCGGGCCGUCCGGUCUGCCGAUGGGUACGCACUGGUCGGCGCGUCCUUCCUUCCGGAGACCGUCCCUACUCUUAACUGAGCGGGGGCGGGAGACGGAACGUUUACUUUGAAAAAAUCAGAGUGUUUCAAGCAGGCAGCUCGCUCUUGCAUGGAUUAGCAUGGGAUAAUGAAAUAGGACUUUGGUGCUAUUUUGUUGGUUUCGAACACCGAAGUAAUGAUGAGAAGGGACAGUCAGGGGCACUCGUAUUCCGCAGAGAGAGGUGAAAUUCUCAGACCCGCGGAAGACGAACCACUGCGAAAGCAUUUG